rnacentral:rRNA from 1 species
CAGUCGCCGCGGUAAUACGAAGGGGGCUGGCGUUGUUCGGAAUUACUGGGCGUAAAGCGCACGUAGGCGGAUAUUCAAGUCAGGGGUGAAAUCCCAGAGCUCAACUCUGGAACUGCCUUUGAUACUGGGUAUCUUGAGUAUGGAAGAGGUGAGUGGAAUUCCGAGUGUAGAGGUGAAAUUCGUAGAUAUUCGGAGGAACACCAGUGGCGAAGGCGGCUCACUGGUCCAUUACUGACGCUGAGGUGCGAAAGCGUGGGGAGCAAACAGGAUUAGAUACCCCUGUAGUCCCUGUCUCUUAUAC